rnacentral:rRNA from 1 species
AUUGAACGCUGGCGGCAUGCUUUACACAUGCAAGUCGAACGGCAGCGCGGGCUUCGGCCUGGCGGCGAGUGGCGAACGGGUGAGUAACACAUCGGAACGUGCCCAGUAGUGGGGGAUAGCUCGGCGAAAGCCGGAUUAAUACCGCAUACGACCUGAGGGUGAAAGCGGGGGAUCUUCGGACCUCGCGCUAUUGGAGCGGCCGAUGGCAGAUUAGCUAGUUGGUGGGGUAAAGGCCUACCAAGGCGACGAUCUGUAGCUGGUCUGAGAGGACGACCAGCCACACUGGGACUGAGACACGGCCCAGACCCCUACGGGAGGCAGCAGUGGGGAAUUUUGGACAAUGGGCGAAAGCCUGAUCCAGCAAUGCCGCGUGUGUGAUGAAGGCCUUCGGGUUGUAAAGCACUUUUGGCGGGAACGAAAAGGACUGUGCCAAUACCACGGUUCGAUGACGGUACCCGCAGAAUAAGCACCGGCUAACUACGUG